CUGCCAAUCGAGGGGACAGCGGGUAGGAGGGAAGGUGGGCAGGAGCCUGCUGGGCUCGAUCGCCCAGAGCCCUCCCAUUCCGGGGGCUGAAGCAGGAAGAGGGUGGGGCCUGCACUCACAUGGCCCAGGAGGUCACUCGCAUUUCUGGGGUCUCCCAAAACCGGAGCCUAGACACAGGAAAUGCAAUCCCAGCGCGUGGGGCCCAGAGCUGGGAUGGGACCAACCUGCCCGGGAUGCCGGCGUCGCAGACCCUACUCACCAAUCAGAAACCCGAUAAAGCUGUUGUAUCAAAGAACCUUCUACUUCCACUUUAAGAACCUACGCUUCGCCAACAGCCGGAACAACACCUUCUUGUGCUACGAAGUGAACGGGAUGGAGUGCGACGAACUCGUCCCCCUUUACCAGGGGGUCUUCAGAAAAGAGGAUGACAUCCAUGCUGAAGAAUGCUUCCUCGACUGGUUCCACGGCCAAGUGCUGGAAGUGUUGUCCCCUAGCAAAGAGUACAAGAUCACCUGGUAUGUGUCCUGGAGCCCCUGUGGCAGUUGUGCCGAGCAGGUGGCCAGGUUCCUGGCCACCCACCGCAACCUGAGCCUGGCCAUCUUCAGCUCCCGCCUCUACUAUUUUUGGGACCCCCACUACCAGCACAAGCUUCACAGGCUGAUUCAGGCGGGAGCCCAGAUAGCUGCCAUGGACUUCCCAGAAUUUAAAAAGUGUUGGAACACCUUUGUGGACAAUGGCGGCAAGUCUUUCAGGCCUUGGAAGAAACUUAAAAUCAAUUUUAGGUUCCAGGAUUCCAAGCUCUGGGAGAUUCUCAGAAACCCCGUGAAUCUGCUGAGAGAAGACAUAUUCAACUUGCAGUUUAACAACGGGGCCCGGGUUGAGCCAGUCCAGCAUCGCUUCUACAAAAGGACGACCUAUCUGUGCUACCAGCUGGAGCAGAACGAUGACCAAGAGCCUCUCAAAGGCUGCCUGCAGAACAAGAAAGGUAAACACGCAGAAAUCCUCUUCAUUGAUGAGAUGCGUUCCUUGGAGCUGGGCCAAGCGCGAAUCACCUGCUACCUCACAUGGAGCCCCUGCCCGAACUGUGCCCAGAAACUGGCUGCAUUCAAAAAGGAUCACCCAGACCUGGUUCUGCGCGUCUACACCUCCCGCCUGUACUUCCACUGGAGGAGGAAGUACCAAGAGGGGCUGUGUGCUAUGUGGCAAUCAGGGAUCCAGGUGGACGUCAUGGACCUCCCGCGUAAGAAGGGACCACAGCCACCGAAUUUACUGACUGCUGGACAGACUUUGUGAACCCCCAAAGGCCGUUCCAGCCAUGGAAUCAACUGGAGAAAAACAGCAGGUGCAUACAAAGACGGCUCCGGAGGAUCAAGGAGUCCUGGGGCCUGCAAGGUUUGUUGAAUGACUUUGGAAAUCUACAACUUGGACCCCCAUUGCCCUGAAUGGCAAGAAGAGAUUCAAGACAGUCUCAAGCAUGUCUUUUGGCGUCCGCCCCAAAGCCAGGUCAAGAAGACCUUGUUCUCCUAUUUCUUUUCUUUUUUCUUUUGUUUUGUUGUUGUUGUUUUGUUUCUGUUUUGUUAUUUGAUGCAGAGUCUCACUGUGUAGCUUGCUACUCUGGAACUCGCUACUAGACCAGGCUGGCCUGAAAGUCAUAGACAUCCACCUGCCUCUGUCUUCUGAGUGCUGGGAUUAAGGAAUGUGCCACCAUUCCAGGCUUCGCGGCGUCACCAUUCCGGACCUUUCCUUCCUUUCUUUUUUUUUAUUCUCAUUUUAUCUUUUUUCAUUAAUAGGUGCUUAAUUUUGUAAUUGAAAAAUUUAAGUUGGGCUGGGCAUGGUGGCUCAUGCCUUUAACCCAGUACUUGGGAGGCAGGGGCAGGAGGAUCUCUGUGAGUUCGAGGCCAGCCUGGUCUACAGAGAGACUUUCAGGAUAGCCAGGGCUACACAGAGAAAUAAAUAAAUAAAUAAAUAAAUAAAUAAAUAAAUAAAUAAGGGAAAAAGUUGGGCAUGAUGGGUCAUGUCUGUCAUCCAGCACUUGAGAGGCUGAGGCAGGAGGAUUGCCACAAGUUUGAGGUCAGCCUGGGCUACACAGUGUGAGAUUCUGUCUCAAAAAAAUUUUAAAAAAUCAAGAGAACAGACAGUUGGGGUUUAUUUGUUUGUUUGUUUGUCUAUUUUGAGACAUGCUUUAAGCCUCCUGAGUGCUGGGAUUAAAGGUGCGCGCCAGUACUGCCAGGCUAUAACAAACAGUUUAAAAUCCAAAAACCCGAGUUCCUCUCUAAGAAGGUGGGCAACAGGCCCCUCACCAAUCAUGGUGGGAAUGACAAGAAAGGGGAGCCAGGGGGAUGGCUACUCUUGCUGCUCUUGAAGAUUGGAGUUCAGAUCCCAGCAGCUAACCCAGCUAUGAUUCCAGCUCCAGGGUAUCUGAUGCCUUUUCCUGGACAGCUCCCCCACCCCACCCCACCCCGCACCUGUGGGCACCGCCCCCAUAUAUAUAUCCUGUAUAUAUACAUAGAUUAAAGAGGAAAAGAAAGAAACGUUUGUGGGCAAAUGCCCUGUCCAGUGUGGAGGAGUUGGAUUAGAUUGUUUUCACUGUGCUCUGUCCCUUCCAAAUCUCUAUUACGUGCCUAAAUUAUCAGGACUAAGGCAGGCUUGGUGCUAUGUCCCGGCAGUCCUAUGUACUGCAGAGGUUGAGGCGGAAGGAGUUCAAUCCAGUUCAAGGCCAGCCUGGAAACCUUAGGAAGACGUGUCUACAGCCAGGAAAUGAAGGGAAGCUGGCGCUUCCCAGCUUCCUGUUUCCCUCUUCCUCCGUCCAGGACCCCACCCCUGGGAAGCGGUCUCCCCCAUCAGGGUGAGUCCUCUCUCUUCAAACCUUUCUGGGGGUCUGGGAGGCAUCCAGAGGGUAAGGUGCUUGCUGCACACCAAGGGGACCUGAGUUUGGUCCUCUGCACCCAUGUAAAAGGCUAGGUGUGAUGUGACUGACCUGCUUAGAGCCCAGUGCUGGUGGGGUGGGGUGGGAGGCUCAGGGAUAGGAUGAUCCCCAGAGCUCGCUCCCUGGCCAGUCACUUUAGCUACAAUGGUGAGCCCUGGGUUCGGUGAAAGGUUCUUUCUCAUUAAUUAGUUGCCAGGCAUAAUGGUCCAUGUCUUCAACCCCAGCUUCCUACCCACAGAGGUAGGGGAUCUCUGGAGUUCCAGGCCAGCCUUGUCUGUGCAGGGAGUCCAGGCCAGCCUGUCUCAAAAACAAACAAACUAAAUGAAUGGUGGAAUACAAUAGAGGAAGACAGCUGAUGUUGACUUCAUGUGCACCCCCUACACACACACACACACACACACACACACACACACACACACACACACACAUCACACAAGGAAAUGACAUAGACCUCUCUGGAAACACUGUUAAAGACAUCCAAAUCCAGUCAGGCUGACAGGGUUAACCAUCUUUUAAAAGUCUUCUUGUGAAUUUAACAGCUAAACAUGUUACUAGAACAUUCCAUCAUGAUCCUCAAAGGCUUAUGGCCAUUUCAUUACACAAAACGCAUUUAGUUCAUUUGUAAGGUACCCCGAAUCUUUUUUUUUUUUUUAUUGUAUUUCAUGUGUCUGGAUGUGUGCCUGUGCACCAUGUGCCCCUGAUGCACACAGAGGCUAGAAGAAGGAUUUGGAGCCCCUGGGGUUGGAUUUACAGAUGGGUGAGAGCCACUCUGUGGGUGCUGGGAAUGAAACCUGGGUCCUCUGGAGGAGUAGUCAGUGGUCCUAACCACUGAGCAACCUUCCCAGUCCUGGUGCCUAAAAUCUUAACAGUUCCUACAUAAUUAAAAAAAAUCCCAAAGUCUCUUCUGAGACUCAAGGCAAUUGCUUAACAGUCAGCUUCUGUAAAGGAAACACAUACAAAGUCACACGCUUCUAGUAAACCACAGAAUGGAAUAAACACCCUCAUUCCAAAAGAGCUGAAUGGGCAUGGCCAGGAAAGUUUUACCAAAGCAAGACCAAAAAAAAAAAAAAAAAACCCACCAAGGCAAACACCAAAGCCUACAGCUCUGCCUGCCACCUGGGGCGGGUUGGUUCACCUCUCCAGCUCUGUCAUCUGCAGUACACAUCUUUUGACAGCUCCACCCCAGGCCUGUCUCCUUUUGUGGACAGCCCAUCUACAAAACAGUGGGCUCUCCAUUGCGACUCAGCCUUCUCCACAGCUUCACAAAAUGACUCAGCACAGCUUCCUCACGGAUAAUCCAAUCUGACACUGCCAGACCUAGAGCUUUCUGGAAUCUUGGUGUAAGCCUCAGUGGCCCCAUAAUAAGUGACGUUUUGCAAAACCCGUACCAUGUGGGUAACAGUUCUAAGUCUCUGCUCCUCAGUUCAACCUCUUUGGAAAGCCCUUCCAUUCACACUGCCCAGCAGGGUUGUCUCCUAGGUGACUCCAAAUCCAGUCCCGUUGGCCAUGAAGAUUAGCAGCACAGGUCCCAUAGUAGUGGUUGGAAACAAAAAUCUUGGCAAGGCAUUGUUCAGGGUUCUAGGCUGGAGCCACAAGCAGGAAUUCCAUCUAGUUAAACACCAAGAGAACCAAAAGAUGUUGAGGGUCAGUUCGAUUAAGCACUUGAAGAUGCUGGGUGGCCCACUGAGUCCCUAAGAAAGAUGUGAGAACUGGACUGAGGGGCUUCAGGAGGGACCCCAAGACUAGUGUUCAGUCGGGGAUGACAGCGAGCGUGGCUAUUGUGCAGAAUGUUCUGCCCAUACCAGCCAUCUGGACACUGGAUGCUGACACAGAACCUCUGCCUCAGGUCACCUCCGCUAGGAACACUCGUCAGAAUGAAGGAAGAAAAAGUGAGGGGAAGGAGGUUACAAUAAGGAGCAUAGCACAAGAAGGAAGGGAAACCAGGCAUACCACACUAAAUGUAAAGAGCAUAAAUCAUUUCAUACUGUUCACAAGAAACUCCUUAACAGACAGAUAAUCUGGUCACUGUGACAAAACACGGCGACCAGACGUAACUAUGAAAGAAAUCAUUUGUUAUGGCCGAUGGUUCUAGAGGGGAAUUCAUAAUGACGGGAAGGUUCAGCAGCCAACAGCUGAAGCAGGAAGCUGAGAGAUCACGGCUCCAUCCGCACCCGGGAAGUCUAGUGAACCAGCUGGACGUGGGAGGAGGCCGUAAACUCUUAUAUUUUUGGUUGUGAGCCUAGCCUUUAACGGCUGAGCCAUCUCUCCAGCCCAAGGCUGUAACCUCUCAAACCUGACCCCCAGUGACAAAUUUCCCUCAUCAAGACUCCACCUCCUAGCCUGGCAGUGAUCCCAGCACUCGGGAGGGGGAGGCAGGCCGAACUCUGAGUUUGAGGCCAGCCUAGUCUACAGAGCAAGUUCCAGGACAGGCAGGGCUACAUAGACCCUGUCUCAAAAAAUAAAAACAACAAAAAAAUUCCAUCUCGUAAAGGUUCUAGAACUUCCCCAACUGGACACCAAGUGUUCAAAUAGAAGCCCAUGGGAGGCAUUUCUCAUUCAAACUACCACAACAGGCAAAUAAAAAGAUGGAAGCAAGUCUGUAGGGCAGGAGUGGCUGGUGGCACACACCUUUAGUCUUAGCACGUGGGAGGCAGGUGGAUCUCUGUGAGUUCAAGCCCAGUCUGGUCUACAUAAUGAGUUCCAGGCCAGCUGAGGCUAUCUAGUGAGACCACCCUGCCUAAAACAAACAACGAACACCCAACCUCUCCUGGAGCUUGAGUUAGAGGCAGUUGUGAGCUGCCUAAAGUGCGUGCUGGAAACAAACCCCAAACCCUCUGCAAGCACAGCAAAUGCUCCUGACCGCUGACUCAUCUCUGCAGUCCUCAGAGACAACUUUUGUGGGGUUGGGUUUCCCCUUCUGCUCUCGUGUGGGCCCCAGGAAUUGAACUCAGGUUGUCAGGCUGUCAGUGUGCAAGUGUUUCUGCCUGCUGACUUCUCACCAAGUCCAGGGUAGCCAUAGGAACAAGGUGGGGUUCGAGGAAGUGACAGGUUAAAAGGGGACUUAACAUCAUGACAUAAAGGAACAAUUGAAGAAUGUGACAUACUAUAUUUAGACUUUUCCUUGCACCGGAAGAAGGCAGGGGCUUCCGAGAUGGCUUGGUGGUUAAGAGUGUUUGCUGCCCUUCCAGAGGACCUGAGUUCGGUUCCUGGUGCCCACAUUGGUGCUGCUCACAGCUGCCUGUGGCUCCAGGCCCACAAAGGGAUCUAGUGUCCUCCACAGGCAUCCGUACACACGUGGCACGCAUUGACAUUGACACAUACAUACACAUGAAGAAAAAUAAAUCUUUAAAAACUAGCCGUCAAGAGAGGGAGAGAGAUGGUUCAGACACAAGUCUGCUGCUUUUGUAGAGGAUGCAAAUCCAAUUCCUAGCAUCUACAUCUGGUCGCUCACAACCAUCUCUAACUCCUGCUCCAGGGGCUCUGACGCCUCUGGCCUCCAUGGGAACUUAUAGUCAUGUGCGCGCGCGCACACACACACACACACACACACACACACACACACACACACACAUUUUUUGAAAAAACAAACAACUUUUUUUUUUUUAAAUAGCAGCCAUAUACAUGAAGGAAAAAACUACUUGAAGUCCCAGAUUUGGCUGGAGCGGUAAUGUUGGCAGGUCAAGGUGGACCGUGCUUGGUCUAAUCAUGUAGCCCUCCCCCUUUGUCGAUACCUUUGUUUCUCCCAAAGCUAAGGGUGUCCAUGCAACUCAACUAUAAUCUGUCAGUGUAAGAAAAUAUCUCCUGGGAGAGCAUUUAGAUUUGACAGACAGACAGACAGACUUUGAGCCUAUUUGGUUAGAUGAGCUCUAAACCAUUUGUGUGGGUGUACUGGUAAAUUGUUGCAUGCUGUUUGAAUUCAUUCAGAGUCUGGCUCUGAAGGUGGGGUUGCUUCAGAUGCAAGCAUGUUUAUACCAAGUGUCCCCCAAGACCCCUUGUCUAGGGAAUGGGCUGGCCCCAUAACCAUGAGAGGGAGGAGAGGGAAGAGAGAACCGUAAAACAGCCCGAGUUAAAACAGCGUCCUAAGGAACAGCUAGAAGAGCCAGAAGGUGCAGGCACUUGACUUUAAUCCCAGCACUCGGAUCUCUGAGUUCGAGGCCAGCCUGGUCUACAGAUCGAGUUCCAGGACAGCCAGGACUACACAGAGAAGCCCGGGCUCAAAAAACAAAAACAAACAACAUCAACAACAACAGCUAGCAGGUCAGCUGUCUCCCACGAUAGAAAAGUGCUCUGGGUGAGAAGAGGCUGGAGGUUCAGCCCUGGAGGCAGCGGGACCCCCAGCUGACUGCCUCUGCCUCUCCAGUUGGUUUCUGCUGGGUGAUGCGAGCACCUCACUGAAUGAACUCUAUUUGUUGCUAUUUGUUCCUUUAUUUGAAAGCCUUACCCGAGGGGACACUCGGCUCUGCCCAGGACUCCUUGGGGGAAACAGCUGGCUGCUUUAAUAGGGUUUCCCCAGCUGACUUUUGCUGGACGUUUAUAAGCCCCAUUUGAGGAUGUUUUGUUAUGGCUGUUUCUUCUUUUACUUUGCCUUGUGGCUUACCAAAUAAACUUACUCAUUAAACCACAACUGUGGCUAUUGGAGAUCAUUCUCAGGACCACACAGAACCAUGGGGAAACAUACACAUAAAG